GUCUUGGUCGAUUAGUGGUUAAAUCAUCUCGUUGUGGUUUGUAACUCGAUGACAUGCGUAAGCAACCGAGAAGCCGAGGGCUCGACUCCCUCCCGAGACA